AGACCUAUAUGGUCCACACAUGGAGAUGCUGCCUCAAAAAUCGCCGUCUUUAGAAGUACAACCUGGGAUAUGAAUUUUGUACUUAUCUUCCCAUCAAGAAUCAUUUUUCCUGAAUCAAGAGCCACCAGAAAUAUGUCAUUUGUGUGCACGUAGGCAACCAUUCUCCCUUCAUAAUUUUUGGAAGGUCUUCUGGACAGGUUAAAACUGACUUGCACCAUU
ensembl:lincRNA Gm26936 predicted gene, 26936